UUCCUUAUUUUUUUCUCUUUAAAUUCUUUAAAGAAAGUUUUCUGUCUUCCUUUUAUGGAUUUCUAUGAGACCUUUGUCUUUCAUUCACCUGCCGCUAUGUCGGUUUCUUCUGCGCCUUUCGAUCGGGGAGAACCUCCUUUUCAUCACUUGGAGGGUGAGUCUUUGAGUGGUUUUUAAGUUUUUUCUUUUAUUUUUCUUUUCUGUUUCUUUUGACAAAUUGUGCAAAUNNNNNNNNNNNNNNNNNNNNNNNNNNUUUUUCUCUUUCUUGUAAUUGCUUUGUUUGUUUUAUCCAAAUUGAUGUUCCUUCAUUGUCCAAGAUCCAUGAGAAGCUGGCUCGUAGAGCAUGGCCUUAGAAGGCACAAUUGAAACGCCAAAGAGCACACCCACGCCAAAGAGCACACCCCCUUCUCCUUCAGCGGCAACUCAUUGAUCCGUAAAAGUCUUUGUAUGCAAGUUUGAAGGUUCACAAAUUUAUUUUUUAUACAUAUUGUCAUCCUUCGACGAAGGGAGGUAUGACAGUGACUUGCAUAAUAAUGCUCGAAAAAUGCAAUUGGGUCACUAAAAAGGAUA
rnacentral:lncRNA from 1 species